rnacentral:ncRNA from 9 species
GGUGAACCUGCGGAAGGAUCAU